rnacentral:rRNA from 1 species
UACGUAGGGGGCUAGCGUUGUCCGGAUUUAUUGGGCGUAAAGAGCGUGUAGGCGGCCAGGUAGGUCCGGUGUGAAAACUCGAGGCUUAACCUCGAGAUGUCAUCGGAAACCAUCUGGCUAGAGUCCGGAAGAGGAGAGUGGAAUUCCUGGUGUAGCGGUGAAAUGCGCAGAUAUCAGGAAGAACACCAAUGGCGAAAGCAGCUCUCUGGACGGUGACUGACGCUGAGACGCGAAAGCGUGGGGAGCGAACAGG